UAUUUUCCAUAUUUUUUCCCAUUUUUUUCCAUAUUUUCGACAUCUUUUGAACAUAUUCUAGUUCCAGCCUUUAUCCAUGUUUCCUGUUAAUUUAUACUUAUAGCCAUGAAGCUUCAUUAUCUGAUUGUGAAUUUAAGACAAUUUCCUUGUAUAGAUGUAUUUCCAUCUGACUUUCUCGUUUGAGAAGAAAGUUAAGAUAGGGAACUUGUAUUACUCGUGUUAUAUUUAUACUCAUUAUAGCAGCCUGAAUGUGUGUCCGGAAAUGGGAUUGAUAUGCCCGGUGGACUUUAUUGCCGGUAGCUGACGUCACCGACCACGCUACCGGAAGUGCAAGCUAAGCAUGUUUUCUAAGUAUUCGG